rnacentral:rRNA from 1 species
UGAACGCUGGCGGCAGGCCUAACACAUGCAAGUCGAACGGUAGCACAGAGAGCUUGCUCUCGGGUGACGAGUGGCGGACGGGUGAGUAAUGUCUGGGAAACUGCCUGAUGGAGGGGGAUAACUACUGGAAACGGUAGCUAAUACCGCAUAACGUCGCAAGACCAAAGAGGGGGACCUUCGGGCCUCUUGCCAUCAGAUGUGCCCAGAUGGGAUUAGCUAGUAGGUGGGGUAACGGCUCACCUAGGCGACGAUCCCUAGCUGGUCUGAGAGGAUGACCAGCCACACUGGAACUGAGACACGGUCCAGACUCCUACGGGAGGCAGCAGUGGGGAAUAUUGCACAAUGGGCGCAAGCCUGAUGCAGCCAUGCCGCGUGUAUGAAGAAGGCCUUCGGGUUGUAAAGUACUUUCAGCGGGGAGGAAGGUGUUGAGGUUAAUAACCUCAGCAAUUGACGUUACCCGCAGAAGAAGCACCGGCUAACUCC